rnacentral:rRNA from 1 species
UACGUAGGUGGCAAGCGUUGUCCGGAAUUAUUGGGCGUAAAGCGCGCGCAGGCGGUUCUUUAAGUCUGAUGUGAAAGCCCACGGCUCAACCGUGGAGGGUCAUUGGAAACUGGGGGACUUGAGUGCAGGAGAGAAGAGUGGAAUUCCACGUGUAGCGGUGAAAUGCGUAGAGAUGUGGAGGAACACCAGUGGCGAAGGCGACUCUUUGGCCUGUAACUGACGCUGAGGCGCGAAAGCAUGGGGAGCGAACAGG